rfam:Brevibacillus brevis NBRC 100599 DNA, complete genome.
GCGGUCGUGGCGGAAUGGCAGACGCGCUGGCUUCAGGUGCCAGUGGUGGCAACACCGUGGAGGUUCAAGUCCUCUCGACCGCA